UUUCAUUUAAAGAGCACCUAUUAUGAGAUACACGUUUUUAAACAUCCUUUUGUGUGUAAGUGUGUAUUAGUACAUGCUAACGAUAUUCAAAAAGUACAUACCUCAAAGAAAACGAUGACGCGAGUUAUCGUCUCUAACGUUCGAGGACUACAAAAAACACUCGGAUUGUAGGCAACAGUUUACUUCCUGGGAUUGGUGACGUAGAUAAGACCAACAUUAUCAUAGUUCAGCCCUCUCUGCUUGGCUUGGGUACGCCCUCAAAGACGGGGGUGGAGAGCGCUGAGUCAGAAGAGAGCUAAAAUGGCGGAGGUUGGGAGUCCCUGCUUUGACCCUGUUUGCAAACUCUUGUUUCAUUGUUUAAGCGAUUAAAUCUCUCGAGUAGACGCUGUCUCUUUAGAUGCAAGGGCAAAAUAGCACUUUAUGGACUAACACAGAGGACAUCAUGUUUAAUACGGUUCCGGAAAAAUCCAGUCAGAAGUUGUUCACGGAGUUUUCACAAUAACUGCUUCUCAUGAACCAAAGCUGCGCGACGUCUCCUCCUGAAAGUUGGAUUACCGUGCACUUCUGGAUCACAGGCUAUUCGCAGCUGGACACAUCCUUCUACACUGUAUGCAAACAUGCAACAUCAUUACACACAGUACAAGGCAUAUGAGGAGCAAAGGAACCCAGGCAGUAGCAUCGUUUCACAAUGUUUCAAUCACCAUCAUCAGUGGAUGCCUUUGCCGUCCGUAGCCUGAGAUUUCAGAUUUGCAGCAAAAAAUGUGACUUUCCCAUUUAAUGGAAUGCUGUGCAGGUUGUACCUUGCAGCCAUCCAUUACAAUGUCACCAAGCCAUAACAAAAGCAGGAGAGGGAAAGUACAAGGCUAUGUUCCCAAAACACACAAGUGACAUACUGCUUGUGUUUGAUGAGGUAUUUGAAGAUAAGCUGAAGGAAACCCCGAUUCCAAUGGACCUGGCAUCACAGUUUGAGAGACCUUCAAAGGAGGACGUGAUUGCAUGCCAUCUUCAGUGCAGGGGUCGUCGGAAGCCAACAUUCCAAUCAGGAAGCUCCAAGCAUAUCUGGAGAACAACACACGACAGGAUGAUAACCCUAAAGUGUCGUCUUAGAUAGCACCAGCUGACAAAGCUUUGAUAUGCCAUUUAUCUGAAUAGAUAGCUGUAAGAAGUGAAUUGAACAAUUUUUUGAAAGAAGAGCACAAUAUGGUUACUAAAGUAUGUUUAUUUGUAUAUUGUUUAACAGUUAAAUAUAUAUUUGUAAUAAAUAAACUUUUGACUGACUACUA